UGCCCAAUGCGGGAAUCGAACCCGGGUCGUUGCGGUCGAAAACCAAUGGUUUAGACCAUCCUUCCACUGACCCCCAGACUGACCUAUGAUAAGGC
rnacentral:tRNA from 1 species